rnacentral:lncRNA from 1 species
CCAACUCUUGCUGAGUGUUGCCAUCCACUAUUCCCCAACCUCCAAUGUCCCAAUCCCAAGUUCUUCAAUCCGACUAUUCUCCAACCUCCAAUGCCCUAUCCCCAAGUUCUUCAACCCACCCGUCGCCGGCUCUUUGUCAACUUGCACCCACUAUCGGCUUUGAUUGACUGGAUCCCACUGCCUCCAUCUGCCGUCAGCUGUUCCAGAUCCCAACCCCCACUCGAUAG